UACGUAGGGGGCAAGCGUUGUCCGGAUUUAUUGGGCGUAAAGAGCGUGUAGGCGGCCUGAAAGGUCAGCUGUGAAAACUCGAGGCUCAACCUCGAGACGUCGGUUGAAACCAUCUGGCUAGAGUCCGGAAGAGGAGUGUGGAAUUCCCGGUGUAGCGGUGAAAUGCGCAGAUAUCAGGAGGAACACCAAUUGCGAAGGCAGCUCGCUGGGACGUAACUGACGCUGAGACGCGAAAGCGUGGGGAGCAAACAGG
rnacentral:rRNA from 1 species